rnacentral:rRNA from 1 species
AUUGAACGCUGGCGGCAUGCCUUACACAUGCAAGUCGAACGGCAGCACGGGCGCUUGCACCUGGUGGCGAGUGGCGAACGGGUGAGUAAUAUAUCGGAACGUACCUUAUCGUGGGGGAUAACGCAGCGAAAGCUGUGCUAAUACCGCAUAAGCCCUAAGGGGGAAAGCAGGGGACCGUAAGGCCUUGCGCGAUUAGAGCGGCCGAUACCUGAUUAGCUAGUUGGUGAGGUAAAGGCUCACCAAGGCAACGAUCAGUAGCUGGUCUGAGAGGACGAUCAGCCACACUGGGACUGAGACACGGCCCAGACUCCUACGGGAGGCAGCAGUGGGGAAUUUUGGACAAUGGGGGCAACCCUGAUCCAGCAAUGCCGCGUGAGUGAAGAAGGCCUUCGGGUUGUAAAGCUCUUUUGUCAGGGAGGAAACAGCAGCUCUAAUACAGUAUGCGAAUGACGGUACCUGAAGAAUAAACACCGGCUAACUACGUGCCAGCAGCCGCAGUAA